rnacentral:rRNA from 1 species
CGAAAGCCUGACGGAGCAACGCCGCGUGUGGGAAGAAGGCCUUUGGGCUGUCAACCACUUUUCUCAGGGAAGAAGUUCUGACGGUACCUGAGGAAUCAGCCUCGGCUAACUCCGUGCCAGCAGCCGCGGUAAUACGGAGGAGGCAAGCGUUAUCCGGAAUGAUUGGGCGUAAAGCGUCCGCAGGUGGCCGUUCAAGUCUGCUGUCAAAGCCAGGGGCUCAACUCCUGACCGGCAGUGGAAACUGAACAGCUAGAGUGCGGUAGGGGCAGAGGGAAUUCCCGGUGUAGCGGUGAAAUGCGUAGAGAUCGGGAAGAACACCGGUGGCGAAAGCGCUCUGCUGGGCCGCAACUGACACUCAGGGACGAAAGCUAGGGGAGCG